GCGUUAAUCGGAAUUACUGGGCGUAAAGCGUGCGCAGGCGGUUUCGUAAGACAGAUGUGAAAUCCCCGAGCUUAACCUGGGAACUGCAUUUGUGACUGCGAGACUAGAGUGUGGCAGAGGGGGGUAGAAUUCCACGUGUAGCAGUGAAAUGCGUACAGAUGUGGAGGAAUACCGAUGGCGAAGGCAGCCCCCUGGGCCAACACUGACGCUCAUGCAGGAAAGCGUGGGGAGCAAACAGGAUUAGAUACCCUGGUAGUCCACGCCCUAAACGAUGUCAACUAGUUGUUGGGGAAGGAGACUUCCUUAGUAACGCAGCUAACGCGUGAAGUUGACCGCCUGGGGAGUACGGUCGCAAGAUUAAAACUCAAAGGAAUUGACGGGGACCCGCACAAGCGGUGGAUUAUGUGGAUUAAUUCGAUGCAACGCGAAAAACCUUACCUACCCUUGACAUGCCAGGAACUUUCCAGAGAUGGAUUGGUGCCCGAAAGGGAACCUGGACACAGGUGCUGCAUGGCUGUCGUCAGCUCGUGUCGUGAGAUGUUGGGUUAAGUCCCGCAACGAGCGCAACCUUUGCCAUUAAUUGCCAUCAUUCAGUUGGGCACUUUAAUGGGACUGCCGGUGAUAAACCGGAGGAAGGUGGGGAUGACGUCAAGUCUUCAUGGCCCUUAUGGGUAGGGCUUCACACGUAAUACAAUGGUCGGUACAGAGGGUUGCCAACCCGCGAGGGGGAGCUAAUCCCAGAAAGCCGAUCGUAGUCCGGAUUGUUCUCUGCAACUCGAGAGCAUGAAGUCGGAAUCG
rnacentral:rRNA from 1 species